UUUUCUGAAGAAGGAAGUAGCCGUUGAGCCUACAAAAGAUUUUCGAAAAAAUCUCUCACCACUAACGUUCGAAAAAGCAGAACUCUGAAUCGAAACCCUUCAACUCUCUCAUAAUUCUCAGAGAAGGGAGAAUCCAUUGGUUUCUUUCUGCUUCAGAUUCAAACCCAGAGGGGGAAGAAAAGAAGAUCCAACAUAAAUGGCGGCCAUUAACAGACGUUACGAGACUGCACAGAGCUACCAAGAUCAAGACGACGACAACAACGCCGCUCACCAGUCUCUCCCACCUCCGAAACCCAUAGAGUCUCACUCCGUCCUCAAGAGGUUGCAAACUGAAUUGAUGGCCUUAAUGAUGAGUGGGGAUUCGGGUAUUUCGGCUUUUCCUGAAGAAGGCAACAUUUUCUACUGGAAAGGGACGAUCAGUGGGAGUAAAGAUACAGUGUUUGAAGGGACUGAGUAUAGAUUGUCCUUGGCGUUUCCCAAUGAGUAUCCCUUUAAGCCACCAAAAGUCAAGUUUGAAACCUCCUGCUUUCAUCCCAAUGUGGACAUCCUUGGCAAUAUCUGCUUGGACAUUCUUCAGGAUAAAUGGACUUCUGCUUAUGAUGUCAGAACUGUCUUGUUAUCUAUUCAGAGCCUGCUUGGAGAACCAAACAUAAGCUCCCCUCUGAAUAACCAGGCAGCUCAACUUUGGAGCAACCAGAAAGAAUAUAGGAAGAUGGUGGAGAAACUGUACAAGGCACCAACAGCUUAGAGUGUGGAUAAGAGGAUGAUGCCAAAUCAAAUCAGGCCACUCCUUGAUCUUGGUGAAGGAGAUGAUAUAUACAGAUGAUAAUCAAAUUUGGAGCUGCAAACCUGCACUGGGCAAGUGAGCGUAGCAGACCUUCCAUGGACUAGCUUGAUAAUGACACAGAAAAAGUGACAAAACAUCCAUCAAGAACAACUGGACAAAGGAAGGAGGGCAGAUUUCCUCGUUCUAGAUCAUGUCUAAAGAGAAAUAUCUAAGAUAAAAUUGACUUCCAAGAAAAGAGUU